UGACCGAAGUCCCUAAUCCCGCUGACUCAGCUUUCCGGAGCUUAAGCGCUCAAGGUCCCGUUUCUGAGUCCUGACCCCUAAAAACCCAACCCAAAACUGCUAGUUCUUUCUAAGUCCCAAGGCAGUGUUCCUUCCAAUCUUGAAGCAGUGGAGAAACCGAGACCGACUGGUGGACCUGCAAUCUUUUCCCCGGUUCUCUCGAGAUAGACGCACCUGAGCAGCAUGCGCCCGCUUCAGAAC
rnacentral:lncRNA from 1 species